GAUGAACGCUAGCGGCAGGCCUAACACAUGCAAGUCGAGGGGCAGCACAGAAACAGCAAUGUUUUGGUGGCGACCGGCGGACGGGUGCGUAACGCGUAUGCAACCUACCUUUAACAGGGGGAUAACGGAGAGAAAUUUCCACUAAUACCCCAUAACAUCGAUCAAGGCAUCUUGAUUGGUUGAAAACUCCGGUGGUUAAAGAUGGGCAUGCGUUGUAUUAGGUAGUUGGUGAGGUAAUGGCUCACCAAGCCUACGAUACGUAGGGGGACUGAGAGGUUAGCCCCCCACACUGGUACUGAGACACGGACCAGACUCCUACGGGAGGCAGCAGUGAGGAAUAUUGGUCAAUGGGGGCAAACCUGAACCAGCCAUGCCGCGUGCAGGAAGACGGCUCUAUGAGUUGUAAACUGCUUUUAAACAGGGAUAAAGCACAGUAUGUAUACUGUGUUGAAGGUACUGUAAGAAUAAGGAUCGGCUAACUCCGUGCCAGCCGCCGCAGUAA
rnacentral:rRNA from 1 species